AAUGUCUUCUGCUUACAACAGAUGGUCAAAGCCAGAGGUUUAUCCAAUGUUGGGAGCACUAGGUCUGGUAAUCUCAGUUGGGACGAUGCAGCUCGUGCGAAACCUUCGCCAAAACCCUGAGGUUAUGAUAAAUAAAG